rnacentral:misc_RNA from 1 species
GAUGAAGAACGUAGCGAAAUGCGAUAAGUAAUGUGAAUUGCAGAAUUCAGUGAAUCAUCGAAUCUUUGAACGCACAUUGCGCUCUUUGGUAUUCCGGAGAGCAUGCCUGUUUGAGAAUCAGUAAAUUCAUCAACUUAAUUGUUCUGAACCGCAAGGUGACUUUCAAUUGAGUUGGAUAUGAGCCUUUUGCGACCUCACCGUCGCAAUGACCUGAAAUUGAAUUGUUAGGCAUCCUUAGACUUGAUUGUCUUAGGCCAACGCAUGAAUGGGGUAACUCACAAAUACGUUAGCUGACUUGAUAGUUUAUCCGAUGUGUAACUCAACCAUUAUCCAAGGUCUGGAGGUUUUGCCUCCUCUCCUUGAACACUUGGUCUCAAAUCAGGUAGGAAAACCCGCUGAACUUAAGCAUAUCAAUAAGCGGAGGA